rnacentral:lncRNA from 1 species
UCCUGAUAUGGUAAUAGUACCCAAAAAAAAACACCUUCUGCAAAAAAUAAGAAAGCAAAUCCCAAAUUUGCAGACAUCCCCUAAAAAAUCAGAAUACAAAGCUCGAAGAAGUCCCACGAUCAAAAUUCAAAAGCAGAAAAAUUGAAACCAAGUACAAAGAAAUCGAGCGGUAAUUGGAAUUAGGGGAUUUUCAAAACAGAAAUCCUAAUUUUAAUUCUAAAUCCCCAAAUUGAAAUUUCAAAACCCUAAUACUCAAUUUCAGAAUCCAAAUCGAAAUCAAGGUACAAUAAUUUCAUGAAUCUUGGUACCUUCAGAUCAGAGAAGCUUCGAUUUGGAGGUCGUGGUAGGAGAUGGAGGUGAAACUGUGGAAGUAUGGAUCUGGAACAUGGAGGAGUCAUAGAGGUGUGGUGGUCGAUGACUCGACGGCCGACGUGUUGAGUCUGUUGGCAGAGGAAGGAGAAGGAGGAGAGUAGAGAGUGCCGAGACGAUUC